UUAGGUGAAAACUAUUAUGCUCAAUAUCAAAAUGAUAUAUAUUUAAAUAAAUUCACAAAUAAACUAUUAAUAAGACUCAACCCCUUAAUGAAAUAUAACCUUAUAUGCUGUUAGAUAGAGUAAUAUAAUGAAAGGGCAGUAGGCAAGUAGGGCACAUUUAAGUUUUGUACUGUAAUGCUCCUCAAAAUGUAAGACAGUAAAGCUGGAUGAAUGUAAAAUAUCACAUUUAUUACCAUUUAGACUGCAAAUGGUAAUGUAAAUUAGCUGUGCCGAGCUCUGCACUUAUUACAUUACUCUGUCCAGUACAAGGUGACUUUACAGUGUUCUUUUUUAUAUAAACAAUACUAAAAUGUUCUUCAACAAUGAGUUCGUCAUCUAGCAUGUAGUGUCAGUAUAUAUUUUCUUUUCCUUAUGCAAGUCAAAGGCUACAAGAAAUAUACAACCUGGCAAACAUCUGCCCAAGGUUCAUUUUUAUCAGCCAAUGAAAAGACCAUUUCUUGCUGAUGAUUCCUUUCCGAUAAUGAAUCUUGAAUGAAGAUCAUCUAGCGUCACCAAUGAAUGGUUUGUUACAUAUAGCCCUCGUCAACAUAAUCCUAAGGAGGAAUUGAUAUUAUUAAUGAAUGGUGAUUAUGGGAAGCACUACGUAUUUUCAUAAAGCACACAAUGGUAAUUCUACUUUUCGAUUAUAUUUUAGUCAUCCUCAGCAAUGGAUCAAAUUAGACACAUUGAUAACAGUGCCUUGUAUACCCUAGUAGUUGCAGUUAGCUUUUUCUUAAUGAUGCUAUGCCUAUUGAUAGAACACCGAUAAUUCUCACAAUGCUUUCAUUAAAAUUAAAAUGCCCGGUCUCUCAUUUCAACAAAUCUGGGAUCUGACCAACUGGGCUAAUAGUUUGUGCUUC